UUCCGGUUGAUCCUGCCGGAGGCUACCGCUAUUGGAGUUCGAUUAAGCCAUGCGAGUCGCGAGUCUUAGGGACUCGGCGUACCGCUCAGUAACACGUGGGUAACCUGCCCUAUGCUGGGGGAUAACCUCGGGAAACUGAGAAUAAUACCCCAUAGUUCACCACGCCUGGAACGGUGGGUGGACCAAAGCUCCGGCGGCAUAGGAUGGGCCUGCGGCGUAUCAGGUUGUAGGGGGUGUAAUGUACCCUCUAGCCCUCUACGCGUACGGGUGUUGAGAGACAUCGCCCGGAGAUGGAUUCUGAGACACGAAUCCAGACCCUACGGGGUGCAGCAGGCGCGAAAACUUGGCAAUGCGAGAAAUCGUGACCAGGGAACUCCAAGUGCAUCGGGUAAGACCGAUGCUUUUCUUGACUCUUCAAAGGUCUUGGAAUAAGGGGUGGGUAAGGACGGUGCCAGCCGCCGCGGUAAUACCGGCGCCCCAAGUGGUAGUCGCUUUUAUUGGGCCUAAAACGUCCGUAGCCGGUCUGGUACAUUCGUGGGUAAAUCAACCAGCUCAACUGGUUGAAUUCUGCGAGCACGGCCAGACUUGGGACCGGGAGAGGUGUGGGGUACUCUCAGGGUAGGGGUAAAAUCCUGUCAUCCUGAGAGGACCACCUGUUGCGAAGGCGCCACACUAGAACGGAUCCGACGGUCAGGGACGAAGCCUAGGGGCACGAACCGGAUUAGAUACCCGGGUAGUCCUAGGUGUAAACGCUGUGGACUUGAUGUUGGGGGCGCUCCGAGCGCACUCAGUGUCGAAGCGAAGGUGAUAAGUCCACUGCCUGGGGAGUACGGUCGCAAGGCUGAAACUUAAAGGAAUUGGCGGGGGAGCACCGCAACCUAAGGAUUGUGCGGUUUAAUUGGAUUCAACGCCGGA
rnacentral:rRNA from 1 species